CCUGCGCCGUCCGCCGGCCCACGCCCUGCGCCGCCCGCUUUCUUCUCUCCUCGCUGCCUGGCGUUCCCGCGCAUCCUGGUGGGCCCGGCGCUGCCGCAGCACCUGCCGGUGGUGAGGGAGGAGCCGCCGCCAUUGACGGCAGCGGGCUGACAGUGGCGAAGGCGCGGAAGGUGCUACGCGCCCACCAGCUCUCCUCAACCCGCCGCCCGCCGGCGCUGCCUCACCUCCUCCCCUCCCCCUGUCCUGCAGCCUGCUCUCCUCUCCCUGCCGAUCGCCACCCGCGCCCGGAUUCGUCGCGCCGGCCUCCCACUCCUCCGUCCUCCACCGACCUACGAUGCGUGCCUGCGCCGGCUUGCUCUCCUCGCCCCGCCGCUGGUGCACCGCCCGUGCCCGGAUUCAUCGCGUCGGGCCGCCCCACACUGCGCCGGCCUACUCGCCUCCCCCCGCAUGACGCUAGCCUGCUCUCCUCUCCCCGUCGCUCUGCGCCGCCCGCAUCAGGCCACCCUGCGUUGUGUCGGCCUCCUCGCCUCCCCCGCGCAUCCCAUCGAUCAUCACAAGCAGAUGGCGUGGCCACUGCCUCCAUCGACACCUGAUGGAUUAGAUUAUGGAGAUGCCUAAUCGCCAAGUCAAUUAACCAACCAUGCUCAGAGGGAAAGUCCAACCAAGAACAUCAAACUCUCCUCUAUUGUUAUUAUCUUUCUCAAGUUAAUUGCUGCUUUUUGUUCAACCUAUAUGAUUUUAGCAACUUUUAUGUUUCUAAAGUUAUUUCAACGCUCAAAAAUUCAGAAUAUAAGGUACAUACUGUUACAAUUUGUUGGUAUGGUUACAUUUUCUUUGGAAUUGUACAUUUGCUUAAAGAAUUGCCCAACCAUACUAAAACAUGGCCACAUGGAAAUCCUGGUGAGUUCAUCAGUAGUCUUUUAUGACUUACGAUAGAUUUAUAACUGAUUUAUAAACACGUCUGAACAUACUAAUCAACUUUGGUACUGCUAUGAGCUUCUUUUUUUCGGUAUCUAUCUACAUUAACACCUCAAUAGGCAACCAAGAUUUUUAGAUUUGCUAAGUGCGCCGUGGAACUGUCAAAAUAUUGCUAGCACAUGGAGGUUUGUUGUUCCAUCCAUCCUUAUUAUUUUUUUGGGAAUCCAUCAUUAUUAUUGAUGUUUUAUUCAUGUUUAUUGAUAAAAAAAAUAGAGAAUGCUAAGGUAUCUCUUCAGAGACCAGAUAAAAUGUUGUCCUUUACUAACUGAAAUGGUUUAACCUUGCUAACAUUGUUAUUUUACCAUCUCGAACAUGCCAAACAAUUUAUUCCACUAGCUAAAAAGGCAUUACGAUAUACCAUGCCUAUGAUCUUCGAAUUCUUAUAUUUUGUUUACUGUAGCAUGCAGUUGCCUCCAUAUAUAUUGUUCUUAUGGAAAAUUGAUUUCAUGAACUAUGAAUUGUUGCCUCAUCGCGACAGUGGGCCAGUUGUUACCCACUCAGUCAUCAAUAUGCUAUAAAGCUUCUUCCACAGCGUGCCACGUCAUCAUUUUCUAUGAGCCAUUGGAUUGACUACGUGAUUAGCAGAUCGUCAGCAUCAAACAAAACCGCUCGCCGAGACCAAAGGUUUGAGCGCAUGUCUUUAAUCCGCUUCGUCUUCGUCUCAUGCCGCAACCCAUCCAUCCCUCUUGAAGUGAAACAGCUGUUGUCAAAGGGAUGUUGGCAUCCAAUAUAGUUGGUGGCUUCAAUACUGCUCGACUUCUCACCCUCUACUCAUCGCAUCUGCCAUGGCGUCAACCAUGUCCCAGAAGCAGGUUUUCCCCUUCUUAUAUUCUUUGCUGAUACUUUGUUCCUAACCUACUUAGAAGAUUCUAUUUUUGUUACUCCAAAUAUCUUAUUGAUUUAUAUAUGAUGCAAUGUUCAGGCACAACCGCACAAGCAAUAUUUUUUCUGUUGCUCUGCAACAUCUUUUAUGCAUCCCUAUGUCCUAAUGACCGCAAGUUAAUUAAUAGUAAAACCCUGACUUUUCAACAUUCAGUCUCUAACAGUGUAUCAUCUGCAGAGAAUAUCUAGCCUUUUGUUUUCUUAUUUGGAAAUUUUCACUUGCUGUUAAAAAUUUUAAA